rnacentral:rRNA from 1 species
GACGAACGCUGGCGGCGUGCUUAACACAUGCAAGUCGAACGGAAAGGCCCUGCUUUUGUGGGGUGCUCGAGUGGCGAACGGGUGAGUAACACGUGAGUAACCUGCCCUUGACUUUGGGAUAACUUCAGGAAACUGGGGCUAAUACCGGAUAGGAGCUCCUGCUGCAUGGUGGGGGUUGGAAAGUUUCGGCGGUUGGGGAUGGACUCGCGGGUUAUCAGCUUGUUGGUGGGGUAGUGGCUUACCAAGGCUUUGGCGGGUAGCCGGCCUGAGAGGGUGACCGGGCAAAAUGGGACUGGGAUACGGCCCAGACUCCUACGGGAGGGAGCAGUGGGGAAUAUUGCACAAUGGGCGGAAGCCUGAUGCAGCAACGCCGCGUGCGGGAUGACGGCCUUCGGGUUGUAAACCGCUUUCGCCUGUGACGAAGCGUGAGUGACGGUAAUGGGUAAAGAAGCACCGGCUAACUACGUG